rnacentral:misc_RNA from 1 species
GAUGAAGAACGCAGCGAAAUGCGAUAAGUAAUGUGAAUUGCAGAAUUCAGUGAAUCAUCGAAUCUUUGAACGCACAUUGCGCCCCCUGGUAUUCCGGGGGGCAUGCCUGUUCGAGCGUCAUUUCACCACUCAAGCCUCGCUUGGUAUUGGGCAACGCGGUCCGCCGCGUGCCUCAAAUCGACCGGCUGGGUCUUCUGUCCCCUAAGCGUUGUGGAAACUAUUCGCUAAAGGGUGCUCGGGAGGCUACGCCGUAAAACAAACCCAUUUCUAAGGUUGACCUCGGAUCAGGUAGGGAUAUCCGCUGAACUUAAGCAUAUCAAUAAGCGGAGGA